CCUACGGGAGGCAGCAGUGAGGAAUAUUGGACAAUGGGCGCAAGCCUGAACCAGCAAAGCCGCGUGAAGGAUGACUGCCCUCCGGUUUGUAAACUUCUUUUAUAAAGGAGUAAAGUGAGGCACGUGUGCCUUUUAGUCAGUACUUUAUGCAUAAGAGUAGGCUAAGUCCGUGCCAGCAGCCGCGGUAAUACGGAGGAUCCGGGCGUUAUCCGGUUUUAGUGGGUUUAAAGGGUGCGUAGGUGGGUUAUUAAGUCAGUUGUUAAAGUUAGCGGCUUAACCGUAAGAAUGCAAUUGAUACUGGCAGACUUGAGUACAGGUGAGGUAAGCGGAAUUCGUGGUGUAGCGGUGAAAUGCGUAGAUAUCAGGAAGAACUCCGAUGGCGAAGGCAGCUUACUGAACUGCCACUGACACUGAGGCUUGAGAGUGUGGGGAGCAAACAGGAUUAGAUACCCUAGUAGUC
rnacentral:rRNA from 1 species